rnacentral:rRNA from 1 species
UACGUAGGGUGCAAGCGUUAAUCGGAAUUACUGGGCGUAAAGCGUGCGCAGGCGGUGAUGUAAGACAGGUGUGAAAUCCCCGGGCUUAACCUGGGAACUGCAUUUGUGACUGCAUCGCUGGAGUGCGGCAGAGGGGGAUGGAAUUCCGCGUGUGAGCAGUGAAAUGCGUUGAUAUCGGAAGGAACACCAGUGGCGAAAGCGGCUUCCUGGUCCAGCACCGACGUUCAGGCACGAAAGCGUGGGGAGCAAACAGGG